rnacentral:misc_RNA from 1 species
UAAUAAGUGUUUUAUGGCACUUUUUAAAUCCAUAUCCACCUUGUGUGCAGAUGUCAGUCGAUCUUCUUCAUGGAGAUCGACCAAACAUCAACCUUUAUCUUUUAACUCUUUGUCUGAAAAAUAUUAUGAAUAAACAAUUCAAAAUA